CCGCGUCACGUGAUGUCUCCUCAAUCUUGCGCGCGCGCUGUAUCUAAAAUAAAAGAAAAACUUUCCAAACUAAACAUGAAACUUCUCCGGUAACAUAAUAAUAUAGACCCUUUACAAAAACAAACAAACAAACAAACAAAUACCCCCCCCCCCCUUUUUUUUCCAAAUCAAUCAAUAAAAAAACCCAAUUAUCCAUUCAUCAGAGGGGAAAGACUGCCUAACAAUUGUUUUCAAAACAAUUGCUUUAUAUUUAUUAUUAUUAUUAUUAUUAUUAUUAUUAUUAUUUUUUUUUUUUCCGCCAACUUUUGUUCUUGCGAUAAAUGUUUGUUUCGCAAUAUGUCGCUUAGAUAUUUCUCAUAUUGUAUCGUAUAGUUUAUGCGCUUUUAAAUUUCACCCUGCUAAGACGAACAAUUUUCUCUGUAAGAGUUAUCUCCCUAUUCACUGUUUAUCAUGUGUGUGCAUCUCCUUCGUAACAAAAAAAGAUAGCG
rnacentral:lncRNA from 1 species